UUGAGCUAUACAUAUUUUAAAAUUGGUUUAUUGAAUUGUUAAGAAAAGGAGAAAAUGCAAAGGAUAUUUUCAUGUGUACAUCCUCAUUUAAAAUUUAGAUUUUUAAACUUUGUUAAGUGCUUUUAAAGUAUUUUGCAUUGGAAAAACCAAAGUCAUACUUUUAUAGGGUAUUGUUAAUGGGACAUUAUGUAUUUUAAUCAUAGGAAUUGUGCUUUAUAAGAAAUUUUAUUCUGUCUUGACAUAUAUAAUUUUGUAUUAAAUUGCAUGACACUAUUUAAGACAGUUUGGUAAUUGACAAAUCAUUUGAAAUUAUUAUUUCUAGAUGAAUCUAGCCUGCAAAGUAUACGUUUGUAAAAGUUUAAGUGCAAGGUAACAUAAAAUGGCUUCUGGAAAUGUUUUUGCAUUACAACUAAAAGGUAAUUAAUAAUUGGUCUCACAGCUAUGUAACAUUUCUGUGUUUGUUCAUUGUUUUUGAAAAGAAUGAAAAGAUUGCCCAGAUGUCUUCAAAUUUUUAAUUCUCAUCUCUAAGAUUAUAAUAUACUUGAUAAAAAAUUCAGAUUGUCUUGGUAUAUGUUUUUGUCUUUACAAGAGGAACACCUAAAGGGAAUUGUCUUUUUAAUCAGAUGCAUUCAUUUUGAAGAUAAUGGCAUUGCUAAAGUAAGCAUUUUGCUAUGCUAUGCUAAAUGUACUCUGAAUAUGUAAAUAUUCAUAUGCAUAUAUAUGUUAAGCAUAUGAAAUUGGUUUUACAUUUUCCUCAUUAAGCUAUUGCUUUAAAUUUCAUUUUUCCUUGAAAAUUAUAGAAUUUUCAAGGUUAAUUCUAAGGUCAAAAACAUUUCAAGAUGCCCACUUUAUGUAUAAAAUGUUAAUUUUUAUAUAAACUAAUAUCACAAGUAUAGCUGUGUUUGAUUUUUGUAUUCAUAUAUAUUUCAUGUAAUGUGACCUAGAUAUAAGAUGUAUAUGAAAAUAAAACGUAAUGAACAUUAUCAUUUUUUGAACAUUUUGGCAAUGACAAUCAAAGUAUAUAAAAUUUCCAAAAUUAUAUAGCUUACUGCUGGAUUUUUAUUUGUACCAGAUCUUAAAUUUAUAAAAAAACUUAAAAUUUGAGCGUAAAACAUAACUUGGAUAUAUAAAAUUAAUAACAAUGAAAGCUUAUAAUGAUUGUAGUUGAUAAUCAUAGCAACCAAUUUGUCAUAAAUUUAUUAACUACCAAAAAAUUAUGACAUAGGGUUGGUUUCAAGUUGAUAUUGAAAAUGUUAUUUUCAACAUAUGAUAGCUAAUUGUUUAGGUCCAGAGGCUGCUGCUAUUCUGAAAUGUUAAUGAUAAUUUCUGACAAAUGGGGUUAUCAUUGAUAUGAUUAUUGAGUUAAUGUUUACUUAAUGUUACUUAAGUAUAAUGUUUACUUAAAUAUAAUCUGGUUAAUUACUUUAACAUUCUUUUUGAAAAUUUUGUUUAUAUGUGAUAAAUACUAAAGUAUUAUCUAUAUAUUUGUACACUGCUACUUGACAAUCUGAAAUAAGUAUACAAAUUAUUGAAUAGAAAAUUUUCUUGAACAUGAUAAAAUGAUGACAGUACAGUUUAGAAAAAUGGGAUUUGGGAAUUGCUUUUGCUUUCUGCAAUAGAAAUUUUAAAGCUUUGUCAAAAACGAACAUUGUAAACAACAGAUGAAUUUUAAAGAGUCCACCAUUUUGUUCCUGUCUCCAUUUUUGCCUAUCAACAUUUUGAGUAUUGGGCAUGUAUAUCCAACUUUGUAUUUUUAGUGGCCAUUGUGAAUUAUAUUUGAGUGACCAUGAAGAAUAUGUGACUUAGAAACUAAAGCAGCAAAGUUUUUCAAAAUAUACUGAUUACCCCAAGGAAGAAGCAGGAAGAGAAUGAGAACUGAGGUGAACAUGAUAAAAAAUUUUGUUUGUAAGUUGAGAUUGCUGCUAAUGAACUUCUGAAGACAAAUAAGUUGCUCAGAAUAUAACUUCAUUUUAAUUCUUGUAACUAAACUGUAAGACACAGGGUAAAUCUCAAGAGAAGACUUCCUGGAAAAUACCUACUUGAGCAAAUUUAAGGUCCAAAUGGAAUCAUAGGUGAUAACUGAAUAGAAAUAUGAUGUCAUUGCAGCACAUUCACCAAAACCAAAAGAUGAUCUUCAUCAUGUCCAGAAUCUCCCUUUUCAUAUGUUACAUUGGACACUGUGUGCAAAUAAGAAAGCUGAACUGAGACUGUUUAUGUUUGAAUGUUACCUGAUGGAUGUCAUUGGAGAGAAUUGUUACCAGGCAUGUUGACUGUUUUCACUGUUUCCAGUGGACUAAACUCUCAGGAAUCUGAAUGGCUGAGACAUUCAAGAUGGUGUAACUGCAAGAAUUCCAUUCAGUGCUCCCACUAAGACUAUAUAUUAGCAUAGGGUGAUUUUAAGAUUAUUUAGACGUCAUCUUUUUCAAGAAUUCAGCGUACUUAGAAAUAAUUGUAAUUUAGUGGGAACUUGGGAAUAUAUUACAAUUAUAUUUUUAGUCAGUAGUACUCAUAAAUUUUGUUUCUUUUUUUUAUAAUAAAAUUGUUCAAAUAUCAAUGCUUCUAAUGUUAGGCAAUAUUAAUUACAAGGAAAUUACAUUUUUGUUAUUCUUAAGCUUAAUUGGCUUCAUAUACCUGUCAUCCUUAAUAGUCUCUUUUGUUACUUUGUUUUCAUCUCAGAGUAUCAGUCUCUAUUACUUGUUUCAAAGCAUACAUUUAUGGCUAGUAUUUUAAUAAUUUGUCAUACACUGCGAAUGAAUACCAUGUUUUGUUGCCCAUAUUUUACUAUGCUAUUGUUGUUGUACAGAAGUUGUAUUUUGAAAUAUAAUCAUGUUCUGGUGUAUGCUUUUUGUGUUUUGUGGUUUUUUGUUUUUUUUAAAUCAUGCUUUGUCUUCAUUUAUUCUGCUUUUUACCCAUUUUGUCAUCUUGUUUCCAUUAAUCAUUAAAAUGGUUUAAAGCAUCAUGUA